rnacentral:rRNA from 1 species
UACAGAGGGGGCAAGCGUUAUUCGGAAUUAUUGGGCGUAAAGGGCGCGUAGGCGGCCUGGCAAGUGGAAGGUGAAAUCCCUCGGCUUAACCGAGGAACUGCCUCCCAAACUGCUUGGCUUGAGACCAGGAGAGGUGAGUGGAAUUCCCAGUGUAGCGGUGAAAUGCGUAGAUAUUGGGAGGAACACCAGUGGCGAAGGCGCACAUCUGGCCCGAUACUGACGCUGAGGCGCGAAAGCUAGGGGAGCAAACGGG